AUUUAGAUAGUUUAAUUAAAACAUUAAUUUGUGGAAUUAAUAAUGUAUUUUAGGAUACUUUAAGUU
rnacentral:tRNA from 1 species